rnacentral:rRNA from 1 species
CAUUCUGUUUCAGUAGGUGACCUGCGGAGGAUCAUUAUUAUACAAUAAAGGUGUAAAGGCUGUUGCUAAUCUUAGAAAGGUUGUGCACGCCUAAGCACUUUUAUCUAUCCUAUCUCACCCCUUUUGUGCAUUAUGGUGUGGGUUCCCUUAUAUUAGAGGGGGCUUACACCUUUUUCUAUAAAACUCAAUAUAAUGUAGAAUGUCUUUUAUUGCAAUUAUAUGCAAUUAAUAUAACUUUCAACAACGGAUCUCUUGGCUCUCGCAUCGAUGAAGAACGCAGCGAAAUGCGAUAUGUAAUGUGAAUUGCAGAAUUCAGUGAAUCAUCGAAUUUUUGAACGCACCUUGUGCCCCUUGGCAUUCCGAGGGGCACACCCAUUUGAGUGUCAUGAAAUUCUCAAAAUUCCUUUUUUUUAAUAUUAAGAAAAGGGUUUUUGGACUUGGAGGGUUAAUGCUGGCUUUUAUACUUCUUUAAAAGUGGGCUCCUCUAAAAUAAAUUAGUAGGGUAUCAUGCUUUACUUUAUCCUUAAUGUGAUAAAAUGUUCUUACAUUUUGGAUUUGGUAUUAUAUGCCUGCUUCUAACUGUCUUAUAUAUAGACAAUGAUGGUGCUUUAGUUACUGCCAUUUAUAUUGGUAAGAGGCUGGGCCUACAAAAACUUCUUGACCUCAAAUUGGGUGAGACUACCCGCUGAACUUAAGCAUAUCAAUAAGCGGAGGAAAAGAAACUAACAAGGAUUCCCUUAGUAACUGCGAGUGAAGUGGGAAAAGCUCAAAUUUAAAAUCUGAUGGUCUUUGGCCAUUCGAGUUGUAAUUUAGAGAAGUGUCUUCCGCGCUGGACUGUGCACAAGUCUCCUGGAAUGGAGCAUCAUAGAGGGUGAGAUCCUGUCUUUGGCACAGACACACCAGGGCUUUUGUGAUACACUCUCAAAGAGUCGAGUUGUUUGGGAAUGCAGCUCAAAAUGGGUGGUGACUCCAUCUAAAGCUAAUAUUGGCGAGAGACCGAUAGCGAACAGUACCGUGAGGAAAGAUGAAAGCACUUUGGAAAGAGAGUGAACAGUAUGUGAAAUGUGAAGGAACACUAAAGUCAGUCAUGUCAGCAAACUCAGCUGCUUGGCUGGGUGUACUUUUGGCCUGACAGGUCAGCAUCAUCUUAGC